rnacentral:rRNA from 1 species
UACGGAGGGAGCAAGCGUUAUCCGGAUUUACUGGGUUUAAAGGGCGCGCAGGCGGGUUUGUAAGUCAGGGGUGAAAUACCGGAGCUUAACCUCGGAAUUGCCAUUGAUACUGUAUGUCUUGAAUAUUGUGGAGGUAAGCGGAAUAUGUCGUGUAGCGGUGAAAUGCAUAGAUAUGAGAUAGAACACCGGUUGCGGAGGCAGCUUGCUGCGCAAAUAUUGACGCUGAGGCGCGAAAGCGUGGGGAGCAAACAGG